UUUCCUUCUCCAGGGGAUCUUCCUGACCCAGGGGUCAAACCCACAUCUCCUGCAUUGCAGGCUAAGCCAUCAGGGAAAGCCCACACCUCGCUGUAAUCCAAGCUACCUGUGGUCAUCUAUGAUCAGAAAACGCUAAAUGGAGAAUCUGAGAACUAGACAACCCCUGAGUUUUCAUCUGCGCGCUGUUGUCCGUAGCAGGGUGACAUCUCCUGCUCCCUGCUCGGUUCCUCUGGCACGAAAACAAUAAAUAAUUAGAAAUAACACAGAUCUUGUGCUCAGUAGAGAAGAACCCGCCCGCCGAUGCAGGAGCCGCAGGAGAUGCGAGUUCAAUCCCUGG